rnacentral:rRNA from 1 species
AUGGAUCCGGGACUAGUAGGUGUCCAAAUCCGGCAAGCAACGUCGCCGCUGAGGCACUCGACGGCAAGCCCCUUCCAUGGAGAACCACCACUUCCCGGAGAGCGAAACGAGCGUGCGCAAAGUUCCUCGUGGGCUACUCUGUAUGACGGAUCCACCGUGCAGUCCGCACGCGGACCCUUGUUCGCCUGCCCACCUUGCAAUGGCAGUCGCCGGUCGCUGAACUUUCGCGCGGAGGCGGCCAAGGAUGCAAAAGUGGCGGAGCGGCAACGAGAUCUCAUUUUCUUGCCCCCUGAGAAGCUACCCCUCCUCCCCUUACAGUCAAACUGCCCCGACCUUGCAGUGCGCCGGCGCGGGCGAUGUGGUUCGUGCCUUGCCAUGUUGUUGCCCCUCUGUGCGUUUUUUGGUGUUCUUCUGAAGAGAUAUAAAUAUGCAAAUACAGUCCAUUGUUGUUUUUCUCUUCAGGUUUAUUUUUACUUCUCUUUUUUUGCAGAAAAGAUAGCCAGUGCAUUCCGCCAACCUCCUCCCACAUGCCCACCUAGAGUGCAAGCCUGUUGGGCACCCGUGGAUCAGCGACGACUGUCGUGCAGUAUGCAUCAAUGA